UGGAGCAGAGGGCGACUGCUUCAAUCUGAAGUGGUUGAUGAAAUGCUUUUGCUCAGCGAGUUAAUUCGGGAAGCCAACGAUCAGCAACAACAACGUGUUGCUCCUGGUUUCACCGUACCUCGAAUGGGAGGACAGACUGGAGGAAGGCCGGUUUACCAAAUCGCCCAAGAGCAGUUGCAGAUGUUGUUGUCCUAACUUCUCUGCUAAACAGAUUGCGGAGAUCUUGGGUGUCUCAAGAAGAACAGUGAACCGACGGUUAAGACAGUACAUACAAUUUCUCUUUUAGAGGUCGCUACACAGACCAGAUGAUGCACUUGAUCUGAAGGUGCUGCUAUUCGGAGUAUGUCCCACAGGCUUCGGAGGAGAACAUAUCGAGUGGCAGGGUCAAAUUCGCUGUGGCAUCUUGAUGGCAACCACAAGCUCAUAAAGUGGCUUGUUUUACUGUGAUUCGUUAAUUUGCCCUAACUGUGUCCCUAGCAAAUGACAAGCUGAUUUUAUGAGUUUUGAAUUUAAAAUAAGAUUUUCAGCUUCACAUGAAUGCAAUAGAGGUUAGGACUUUUCUUUCUGUUAAACGCCCAACAUGUUGCACAGAAAUGUAUACAAAUCAUUUUAGCUGCAUUCAAGCCAUUCAUAUUUUUUUUGUUAUAUUAUGUUAUUUAUAAAAUAAUAAUAAUAAUUUAUAAUUAUUGCCAACAACGAAAGGCAUCUUUGGGCUCUUCACUUCGUUUACCUGCCUCGUAUAAAACGUGACCUGAGGACUGCCAGAUACAUGUCACCAUAUCAUUUUUGUGCAAGGCUGUCUGACACAACAGUUGCAACAUCACACUGGUAUCCAAGGUAUAUUUGGAGCAGCCAGUUCCAGGGGGUGGCUGACCAGGGGGCGGCUGCACUUGCCUUUGACUGGCUACAAAGAGUUGUGGUUCCCCUAAACCAAUUUCAACCAAGUGACGAACAGUUGGAACACCUCAGGCAACACACAAAUCCUUUGGGUGGAGAUAGAGACAGUUUGGGAACUGAUCAGGUCCUCAAUGUCCUGUCUUAAUACAGUGCACACACACAAUUUAACUGUUGUAAUCACAUUGUCAAUAGGCCUUGGAAUGAGUAAGCAGUCUCAAUCACGUCAAUGUAAUAAAGAUGAG